rnacentral:rRNA from 2 species
UAGGGAAUCUUCGGCAAUGGGGGGAACCCUGACCGAGCAACGCCGCGUGAGUGAAGAAGGUUUUCGGAUCGUAAAGCUCUGUUGUUAAGGAAGAACGAGUGUGAGAAUGGAAAGUUCAUGCUGUGACGGUACUUAACCAGAAAGGGACGGCUAACUACGUGCCAGCAGCCGCGGUAAUACGUAGGUCCCGAGCGUUGUCCGGAUUUAUUGGGCGUAAAGCGAGCGCAGGCGGUUAGAAAAGUCUGAAGUGAAAGGCAGUGGCUCAACCAUUGUAGGCUUUGGAAACUGUUUAACUUGAGUGCAGAAGGGGGGAGUGGAAUUCCAUGUGUAGCGGUGAAAUGCGUAGAUAUAUGGAGGAACACCGGUGGCGAAAGCGGCUCUCUGGUCUGUAACUGACGCUGAGGCUCGAAAGCGUGGGGAGCGAACAGG